GCUAGAUCCACAAAAGAUGGGUCCGUACAAAGUGCUGAAACGUAUUAGACCUAAUGCUUAUGUUCUAGAGUUGCCUGCUAAUAUGGGCAUAAGCAAUGUGUUUAAUGUGGCUGAUCUUUACUUGUAU